GACGAACGCUGGCGGCGUGCUUAACACAUGCAAGUCGAACGGAAAGGCCCUGCUUUUGUGGGGUGCUCGAGUGGCGAACGGGUGAGUAACACGUGAGUAACCUGCCCUUGACUUUGGGAUAACUUCAGGAAACUGGGGCUAAUACCGGAUAGGAUCUCCUGCUGCAUGGUGGGGGUUGGAACGUUUCGGCGGUUGGGGAUGGACUGGCGGCUUAUCAGCUUGUUUGUGGGGUAGUGGCUUACCAAGGCUUUGACGGGUAGCCGGCCUGAGAGGGUGACCGGCGACAAUGGGACUGAGAGACGGCCCAGAAGCGUACGGGAGGCAGAAGUGGGGAAUAUUGCACAAUGGGCGGAAGCCUGAUGCAGCAACGCCGCGUGCGGGAUGACGGCCUUCGGGGUGUAAAACGAUUUAGACUGUGACGAAGCGUGAGUGACGGUAAUGGGUAAAGAAGCACCGGCUAACUACGUG
rnacentral:rRNA from 1 species